CCUACGGGAGGCAGCAGUGGGGAAUUUUGGACAAUGGGGGCAACCCUGAUCCAGCCAUGCCGCGUGUGUGAAGAAGGCCUUCGGGUUGUAAAGCACCCGACAUGCGUGAUCGGUACCGGAAGAAGAAGCACCGGCUAACUACGUGCCAGCAGCCGCGGUAAUACGUAGGGUGCGAGCGUUAAUCGGAAUUACUGGGCGUAAAGUGUGCGCAGGCGGCCGAGCAAGUCGAGUGUGAAAGCCCCGGGCUUAACCUGGGAACUGCGCUCGAAACUACUUGGCUUGAGUGUGGCAGAGGGAGGUGGAAUUCCACGUGUAGCGGUGAAAUGCGUAGAGAUGUGGAGGAACACCGAUGGCGAAGGCAGCCUCCUGGGCCAAACUGACGCUCAUGCACGAAAGCGUGGGGAGCAAACAGGAUUAGAUACCCUUGUAGUC
rnacentral:rRNA from 1 species